GGAGGUGCAGGAGGAGGGUUAAAGGGCAGUGGAGUGCGAAGGGUCUCAAGUCACAAUGCAAAGGACUCUGCGCGAUCCAUUAGCUCUGCUGCGCUUCCACCUGCUGCAGAGGAACCGCUGCCAUCACUCGGAGGAAAGAGGAGCAUGUUUGGACGCUCUCCUACUCAACUAUCCAAACAAGACGCGGUGUACGGCGCAGAGAGAGAGAGAGCACAGAGGCUGAUGCUAAUCAUUCGACUGCCUCGCAAAACUCUUCGAGAAUAUCUUGAUGGCAGACUGCUGAAUUCCCACGAUACCAUCAAAGAAUCAGAUACCAGUAAGACUGAAAAAGGAUCCAGGUCACUGGGGCCAUUUUUCUUCUCCAUCAUAUCCUGACAGAGAAUGACCAGAGGAACUGAAGGGAUGAGAACAGGUCUGAAACAAUCCAAUUAUAUCACAGCUUUGACAUUAAUGAAACCGAAGACAGAAGAGAUUUCAUUCAACAGUACUCAUAAAUAAUUUAUAUAACAUUAAGUUGGACAAAGAGCAUGUGAAGACAGAGUAGGGAUAUGCAGCAUUACAGAUUUUCUAAAUAAAUUAGUCAGUUAUUUGUGUAAAUGACUAAUCAAUUAAUCAGUCUUAAGGAGGCUCUGUAUAAUUAGGGGACAGAACAAGGUCUCGAGAUUCAUUUUUAAAUAAGCUGAUACACCAUCAUAAACAUAACCGUCAUGGCAGGUCACUCAAACAACAUCAAAAACGUAUUGAUCAUGACUAUACACAAUUACAAAAAAAAUAAAAUACACACACACACACACAAAACUGGUAAAACUUUACAAUAAGGUUUGGUAUGCAAGAUUAAUGGAUGCUAGAUGCAAUAUUAUUUUUUUUAAUUAGCAAUACUUUAAAAGUAUUUAUUAAUGCAGAUUUAUGCAAAAGUAGAUUG